UGCAGUCGAGCGAACAGAUAAGGAGCUUGCUCCUUUGACGUUAGCGGCGGACGGGUGAGUAACACGUGGGUAACCUACCUAUAAGACUGGGAUAACUUCGGGAAACCGGAGCUAAUACCGGAUAACAUUUGGAACCGCAUGGUUCUAAAGUGAAAGAUGGUUUUGCUAUCACUUAUAGAUGGACCCGCGCCGUAUUAGCUAGUUGGUAAGGUAACGGCUUACCAAGGCAACGAUACGUAGCCGACCUGAGAGGGUGAUCGGCCACACUGGAACUGAGACACGGUCCAGACUCCUACGGGAGGCAGCAGUAGGGAAUCUUCCGCAAUGGGCGAAAGCCUGACGGAGCAACGCCGCGUGAGUGAUGAAGGGUUUCGGCUCGUAAAACUCUGUUAUUAGGGAAGAACAAAUGUGUAAGUAACUAUGCACAUCUUGACGGUACCUAAUCAGAAAGCCACGGCUAACUACGUGCCAGCAGCCGCGGUAAUACGUAGGKGGCAAAGCGUUAUCCGGAAAUUAUUGGGCGUAAAGCGCGCGUAGGCGGUUUCUUAAGUCUGAUGUGAAAGCCCACGGGCUCAACCGUGGGAGGGUCAUUGGAAACUGGGAAACUUGAGUGCAGAAGAGGAAAGUGGAAUUCCAUGUGUAGCGGUGAAAUGCGCAGAGAUAUGGAGGAACACCAGUGGCGAAGGCGACUUUCUGGUCUGUAACUGACGCUGAUGUGCGAAAGCGUGGGGAUCAAACAGGAUUAGAUACCCUGGUAGUCCACGCCGUAAACGAUGAGUGCUAAGUGUUAGGGGGUUUCCGCCCCUUAGUGCUGCAGCUAACGCAUUAAGCACUCCGCCUGGGGAGUACGACCGCAAGGUUGAAACUCAAAGGAAUUGACGGGGACCCGCACAAGCGGUGGAGCAUGUGGUUUAAUUCGAAGCAACGCGAAGAACCUUACCAAAUCUUGACAUCCUUUGAAAACUCUAGAGAUAGAGCCUUCCCCUUCGGGGGACAAAGUGACAGGUGGUGCAUGGUUGUCGUCAGCUCGUGUCGUGAGAUGUUGGGUUAAGUCCCGCAACGAGCGCAACCCUUAAGCUUAGUUGCCAUCAUUAAGUUGGGCACUCUAGGUUGACUGCCGGUGACAAACCGGAGGAAGGUGGGGAUGACGUCAAAUCAUCAUGCCCCUUAUGAUUUGGGCUACACACGUGCUACAAUGGACAAUACAAAGGGCAGCUAAACCGCGAGGUCAUGCAAAUCCCAUAAAGUUGUUCUCAGUUCGGAUUGUAGUCUGCAACUCGACUACAUGAAGCUGGAAUCGCUAGUAAUCGUAGAUCAGCAUGCUACGGUGAAUACGUUCCCGGGUCUUGUACACACCGCCCGUCACACCACGAGAGUUUGUAACACCCGAAGCCGGUGGAGUAACCAUUUAUGGAGCUAGCC
rnacentral:rRNA from 1 species